rnacentral:lncRNA from 10 species
AGGCCACCCACUACAGGUCCUGGAUUCUGCCCUGAAGGCACCCGGUGGCCCACCUUCCAUAUUGUACCUGAUUGUCAGGUUUUCAAAGCACACUCGCCUGAGGGUGUUAGAAACAAGCCAGAGAAAACUAAAGCCCAGAGAAGAGCCCUAGGAUAGCCUGUCACUGGGAGAGCUGACUUUUCAAGCCUCUGUGAUUUGGUUUGGUUUGGGUUGGGUUGGGUUGCGUUUUUUCUUACCUUUCUUGCCAUAGAUCAGGGUCUCACGAACCUCUUAAGAGUCAAUGGCCCGUCCACUAUCAGUGAAGCAAUAUAUAUAUUUUUUUAUUUUGUUUAUUUGUUGUUGUUUGAGACAGAGUCUUGAUUUGUCACUCAGGCUGCAGUGCCGUGUCUCGAUCUUGGCUCACUGCAACCUCCGCCUCCCUGGUUCAAUCCAUUCUCUUGUCCCAGCCUCUCCAGUAGCUGGUAUUACAGGUGCAUACCACCACGCUCAGCUAAUUUUUUUUUUUUUUUUGUAUUUUUAAUAGAGACAAUGUUUCACCAUGUUGGCCAGGCUGGUCUCGAACUCCUGACCUCAAGUGACCCGCCCGCCUUGUCCUCGAAUAGUGCUGGGAUUACAGGUGCGACCCACCACACCCGGCUGCAAUGUUUGUUUUAAUUACUUUUGGCAAGUAUUUCCUGAGUACCCCGAGCGUGCCAGGUGAAGAGAGACGGAUAAUAACAGCGCUAGCCAGCACGUAUUAAGCCUUGCAAAGCUGCACGGGCAUGAACUUGUGGCUUCAACACAACCUUAUGAGGCCCACCACAGCUGCCAAACAUGAGGUGAUGGGACAGCCCUCGUGGCCUCCACCCACCGCCCUGGUGGAGAAGUGAAACAUGAACCCACCAGUGCAAGACAGAGGAAGAGGCACCAGCGAAGGCAAGAAAACUGAAGCUGGACGCUGGCCUCCAGUCCUGUCUUUGCCAUUAGCAGCCCUGGGAUCUUAGUGCCUUCACCAGCCGAGCUUCAGUUUUUCCACCUGUAAAAUGGAGGGUUGAGGCCACAUCUUCCUUUUAGUCCUUCCUCUUCCCUUCCCUCCAGAGCAAGUGGUGUGGAAUUCUAAGGCAAAAGUCACCCUGAUUGAAUGGUGUAGAUUAGUCAAGAACCCAGCACUGAGGUCAGCCUCUGGAAGCAAUUUAAGAUGACCCAAGGAUUUGAGAUUCCAACCUCCUGCAUGCAAGCAGAAGUGCUUCCUCCUACAUAGGGCUGCCCUCCUUCCUGAGCAACUGGGCUGAUUUGUGGAAGAAACAGCUGUGCUUUCUGGUGAGCUCCAAUGCCAAACAUGUAGGCCUUGGAUCAGGCAGGAUGUUCCAUCAGCAGUCAUUGUUCACACCUGUGCUGUAUGGGCCAGGCAUCGAGCCAAUAGUAACACCUCCUUUCACCCCACAACAACCCUGUACCAAGCACACACCCAUUUUAUACCUGAGGAAGCUGAGGCUUGGAGAGGCACCGCGCCCAGGGUCAUGUAACCACAGGUGACAAAAUGAAGAUGCAAAUGCAACCUGAGUGAUUCCUUUUGAUGGAGCCACACCAUUUAAAUCAAUG